rnacentral:rRNA from 1 species
GAUGGACGCUAGCGGCAGGCUUAAUACAUGCAAGUCGAGGGGCAGCAUGAAUGUAGCAAUACAUUUGAUGGCGACCGGCAAACGGGUGCGGAACACGUACACAACCUUCCUAUAAGUGGGGAAUAGCCCAGAGAAAUUUGGAUUAAUACCCCGUAACAUAAUGAUGUGGCAUCACAUUAUUAUUAUAGCUACGGCGCUUAUUGAUGGGUGUGCGGCUGAUUAGAUAGUUGGCGGGGUAACGGCCCACCAAGUCUACGAUCAGUAGCUGAUGUGAGAGCAUGAUCAGCCACACGGGCACUGAGACACGGGCCCGACUCCUACGGGAGGCAGCAGUAAGGAAUAUUGGUCAAUGGACGCAAGUCUGAACCAGCCAUGCCGCGUGAAGGAUUAAGGUCCUCUGGAUUGUAAACUUCUUUUAUCUGGGACGAAAAAAGGCGAUUCUUCGUCACUUGACGGUACCAGAUGAGUAAGCACCGGCUAACUCCGUGCCAGCAGCCGCCGUAACAC